CAUCUCAUCCUCUGUCAGCCCCUUCUCCUCCUGCCUUCAGCCUUUCCCAGCAUCAGGAUCUUUUCAAAUAAGUCAGCUCUUUGCAUCAGAUGGCCAAAGAGUUGGAGUUUCAGUUUCAGCAUCCGUCCUUGCCUUGGCUCCUCUCAAAGCCUUGCUGCACUUUCCCACGCACGUCCCCUGCCUGCACAGCUGCAAGUCAACCCCCUACCGAGGCAGUGCUUCUUUGGGGGCCUCUCCCUGCAGAGUUCCCCAGUGUUCCCCAAACCCCAGUUCUUUGGCUGGAAAGUCCUGGUUCAGCUGAGUCUUAGAUCCAGCCCUCUCCCUCCCAAGUUGCUCAGGACUGGGUGGAUUUCAAGGUGUAUGGCAAGAGAAAAAAAGAAGAAAAAUAAGCAAGGUCCUCCCCUUCCCCCCCGCAAAUCCUCUGGGAUGCAGGAGCCAAUGUCCCAGUUACCCAGAGAGAGGUGGUUUUUUUCUGGGCAUUUUAGGCGCUUCCCCCGUGGCUGAGACUAGCUUCGCAGUUGGAGCCCCUGUGGGGCAGGUCCAGGAGACAGAAGGGGAAAGAGACCCCGGGUACUGGACCCUCUGCCUCUCGGAGCCCCUUCCGUGCCUCCUGGCUCCCUGGGAUUCUGAGCCCGGCUCAUGGGGCGGAGCCGAGGUGGAGGAGGGAGGAGGUGCAGCCGCAUCCAGGGCCAGCUGCUCCCUUCUUGCCCCCUCUUUCUGGCAGCGCUGCUUCAUGGGGUCCUGCACGGCUGUCUGGGUCCCAUCCGGGCGUCCAGCUCUGAUCAGGGCAGGACAGCUCAGGGGGACCCGCUCCCUCUCAGCUGGCCCCAGAGGCGACUCCUCAUCUUUGUUAAGAAGGAGAAAGGGAAGGAGUGAAUCUGGGGGGUAGGUAGGCUCUCUGUAGAGAUGAGUGGACCCCGCUUUCUUCUCUUGCGAGACUGAAGUUCCGUGUGGGUUGGCACGAGGUAUUUUCGUGUUUUCUCUUCCUCUGAUGUGCUUCCUGAAGAAGGGGAUGGGUCCGGUAGCAGAGAUGUGGGGGCGAGGCAGCGGACGCGCUGCUCCGGGUUCAGAGGCUCACCUGCGUCACGGGGGCCUCGCAACUGAGGCCCAGGCCUGUGCGGUGCCCGGUUCCGCGUCCCACAGGCCUCGUCCUUCCUGCUGCCGGGAAGUUCUCACUGCCGGCUGAACACGGAGGGUCAGCAAGGCCUCCGUGGCCUGUCUGGUCCAGCCACACGUCGGAGGAACCCUGGGUCCCUGGGGCCUCGUCAGCCCGUGGCGUGAGCGGCAGCGGGUGUGGCCCUGGGCUGAGACCUGCAGACGUCUGCGGUGCACCAGGAUGUCUACCCUGACGGACCCCGCCUUACUGGGCCAUCGCAACCCCUCCCUGCGUUGACCCCUGGGGAAAACAGCGGACUCCGAUGCACUGCUUUCCAUCUCAUCUCAGUUUAGCCCCAGCUGAUCGGGCACAUGAGUUUGACCCCUUAGUCUUGCGUUUUUUUCCUUGGCACAGCAGCAUGGUGAGAUAAGCUGCAGGAAUCUCUGGAAGGUUUUGAACUCCUCGGAGCAAAGACUCCCUAAGACAAGGUCUUAUUAUUCUCGUAAUUUUGAGGCAAGUACCAAUCUGCCAAGUACACAGAGAAAAAUUAUUCAUCAUCCCUUAACUUGGACAGGACGUAAGUACCGCCUUUGCCAUUGGGAUCUGCGGAUCAUUAAAAAGCAUGGAGCUCUGCCUGCCAAUCCCCACCCACCCCCCCAUCACCGCCGCGCCCUUGAGUCCCACCCUUCAGGGGCAUCGAGCCCGCCACAGCCGUCGGGAGCCCAAGACAUGGAUCUGCUUGGGGCGAGCCUGGCACGUGUGGGCCGUCCCUGCUACUGGUGAGACACAGGUUCAUUAGGCCAGGCAGGCCUGGCAGGGAAGACCACGCCACCCGCGAUUUGAUGAGUGAGGUGCUUACCGUGUUUGGAAGCUCCUUAAAGAAGCCAGGUGCUGAAAGUGAUCAGAGAACCGCUCACCAGCCUGGUCACGUGAGAUGCAGCCACAUGCGCUCAGCUCGAUGCCAGGCGUCCCGGGGCACGGCCGCCCCCGCCUCCUGUGAGAUGUGCUCAGCUCGAUGCCAGGCGUCGUGGGGCAUGGCCGCCCCCACCUCCUGUGAGAGGGUCCAGGCUGCGGGCCGUCAUUGCCCUGGGGUGGCCCUCGGUCCCGAUGACUGCAAGUCCCUGGGUAGUUCAUUCUGUGUCCCUCCCUCUUCAGACCCAGCCAGACCCACAGCGUCAGGACCUUGGGGUGGGGGGUAGGAGAAGAAAUCCGAGUCCCCCCCUUUAUUUUGGGUUAGUGUCUUAGUUUGGUGUAGCUGAGGAUGCUCACUGAUCGUAAGAGAUAACGCAGAGAGCCGCCUCCUCCAUACUCUCUGCCCGGUUUCCCUCAGGCCUGGCAGGCCUACAGUCAGUCUCGCACCUGGAUGGGGACGUGGAUGCCGCCCCGUGGUCUCCUUCCCACGUCCCUGGUCUCCUCUGGGCUCGUCUGUAGCACCUCACACAGGUCAGAAUGGCCGUCAUCAAAACACACCUACACAGAGUAAGUGCUGGAGAGGGUGUGGGAAGAGGGAGCCCUCCUGCACAGUGGAGGGAAUGUGAGCUGAGGCAGCCCCUGUGGAGACCCUAGGAAUAAACCCCCCUGUGACCUGCGGCCUAGAUGUCCAUCGCGUUCUCAGUGGUCUCACCCCGUGUAUCUGCCCCUGCCUCCUGGCUGGGAGACGUCUCCACCCCUGUCUGCAGUACCCAGAGCACCCUGAGGAUGGGGGACGGACCCCAUGAGGCUUUGCUGAGCGAACCAUCUGGCGCCCGUGGGUGAGGGCUGAAUCAGAGUGAUCAGGAUGCACUUGGCAAAAUAUGAGAGACCCUGCAGAUAUCUCAUCCGGCCACACGGUGUGAGACAGUGUGCGGUGAGCCUCUUCUGACUGGAGGCGUGGGUCUGUCUUGACGUCCAUCUGCGUGUGUGACGUGAGACAGAUGCAGGUGGGUCUGCGUGAAAUCAUUAAAAUUUAAGGCCAUUCAAAGCGUCUCCAGGUACCCACUGCCGGGACUGACACCGGGCUACUUUUGUUGAGUUCCACUGAAGUCGGGGACCGUCGGCGGACGUGUCCCUCUGCAGAUGCUCUGGGCACGCUGGGAUCUGGUCUCUCUUUACCACUCCCCAGGGAAGGGAACCCCUGGGACCCGUAUGGGAGGCUUAAUCAGUCACCCGGCUUCAUGAGGGUUUGGACCAAAACAGCUCGAACUCAGGUCCUGUAGGAACAGGGCAUGGAGCGCAGACCUCUGUGUCCUAUCCACGUCCAGCAGCGUUUUCCCAGCGAGGGGCCCCUUGCCUCCUGCAACUGAUCCGGCGGCAGUUGUUGAUAGUAACUUGGUGGUCGUGUGGUGUCUGGAGACGGCUCAGAUGUGCUUCCAGGAGCCCUGCCUUUGGAGCCGAGCAGACACAGGUUCAAAUCCUGGUCACACUGUCCUCAAACCCCAAACUCUGUGCAUCAGUUUCCUUUUUGUGCAUUUUCAGCAAGGAUGCUCUUUCUUUCCUGGGGAGCGUGAAAUGAGAGCGCUUAUGAAAAGGCCAGCGCCGUGCUUGGUCUAUAGUUGAAAGAGGUCUCCAGGUUUCCCACCCUCAACUGGUAGGAACCAGAAAUCACGGCCCAAUAAUUUCUGGAGCAUUUAGUACGAGGCAGAGCCAGAGGCAGCGUGGGUCAGCUCAGGGGCAGCCCGGCCCACACGGGUGCUGGCACCACCCAGGACUCAUGAGACCUUCCAGUGGUCGGAAGGAUAGAGAAGCUGGGUCAUCCUCUGUCGUGAGGAAGAGGAGCUCACAGUUUCAGGGGAAAACCUCCCUAACAAGCGUGCACCCGGCGUGGUCUGCAGAAACCAGGGCCGGUCUCGACCACCGGCCGUGUAAGGAGGGACCGCCCCUGGAGUUAGCCCUGGGACCCUCUCUUCUGACGGAGGACGUCUGACCCGGAGGCCGCCCGGUGCACGGUGUCAGGACUCACGCCCCAGAUGCCGGCCUGUGGGCGGGGCAGGUGGGGUGGACACGUCUUCCCUCCGGCGUCCGUGUGGGCGGGUCCCGAGGGCAGGCGCGUCCGCGUGCAUGACGUCAUGCUGCGUCAUGCCGCGCCCCACGCCGCCCCGACUCCCGCUCUGCGGAGGCGGACCCCGGUAGGUGGGUGCCCCUUCUGAGGGACCCCGCGAGCGCCCUGCUCCUUGCCCGAGGAGCAGAUGGUCCAGGCUUAGGAGAGGAGCCAGGUGGCCGCUCCUCCUGGAGACCCGCUUCCUGUCCAGCCAGCGCCAGCACACCAAAGACCAAUCCUGCGGAGGAGGCCAUUCGCCUUCCUGAAGAGGAAACUGCGGAAGCAAGGACACAGACCAAGACAGCUGUUCUGAGCAGUGUGUUCGCGUGUGCGCUCUGUCCCCGCAGGAGCCACAGGAGAAGUGGGCGCCGUGGGCUCCUGGAGGACGCCGGGCCCAGGGUCCGUGUGCGGCCACGUCCAUCAGAAGCUCCAGCGAGGGCACCGGCCGCCGCUGCACCCUGGGCGGGCGUCUCCCCGAUCCCAUGGGAAGGCACCCGGACGCGGCUUUCUGACUUAGACAUGAGACUGUCGGCCCCGGUCAGGCGGGGAUGGGUGCUCUGCCCACCCUGGUGUUCGGUUCCUGGGGUGGCUGACCAUCUGGGAAGAGGCCAUGUGCCCUCAGCUGUCCCCAAGCCGCCGAGCACCUGCGCCUCCCGCCGCCCAGCUCACCCCAGCCCGGCUCCAGGGCCACUGUCCGGCACCCUUCAUCAAGGAGUCAACCUCUGUUUGCAAUCAAUCAAGUCCAAGACAGCGACCUGUGGACGGGGCCUUAUUUCCUUUCCUUGACUGAUGACAAUAGACAAUUGAUUUCCUGUCUAAAGCUGGGUACUUCAACGAAAUUAAAAGAGUCAUAUCUCUACGGAGAAUAAUAUUCUAAUCUCGCUCACCCCAUCGCCAGCAGGAGGCCCGCGUUUCAUGUCUCUGGAAGCAGCCUUUCAUUUCCUGUCGGCUCAAACCCCGCUGCUCCUGGGACUGAGGCUGUGAUGCUCACCGCUGCUGUGUGUGACUCACAUGACCUCCUCCCUGACCCACUCAACCCCUCUCCGACCUCCCACAGCCACUGUCUGACCCGCGUGACCUCUGCCCCUGACCCCUCAGCCACUGUCUGACCCGCGCGACCUCCAUCCCUGACCCCACACAACCUCUCAAUCUGCACAACCUCCUUAUUGAAAAGAGUCAGCCUAGUGAGGCAGUGGGCACUGGCCCAUUUUACAGAUGACGGGUUUCAAUAAAUUCAAAGAAUCUU